UGACCUCGGAUCAGGUAGGGAUACCCGCUGAACUUAAGCAUAUCAAUAAGCGGAGGA
rnacentral:rRNA from 232 species